rnacentral:rRNA from 1 species
UACGUAGGGUGCAAGCGUUGUCCGGAAUUAUUGGGCGUAAAGAGCUCGUAGGCGGUUUGUUGCGUCGGCUGUGAAAUCCCGAGGCUCAACCUCGGGUCUGCAGUCGAUACGAGCAAACUAGAGUGUUGCAGGGGAGACUGGAAUUCCUGGUGUAGCGGUGAAAUGCGCAGAUAUCAGGAGGAACACCGGUGGCGAAGGCGACUUCCUGGCCUGUUCUUGACGCUGAGGCGCGAAAGCUAGGGGAGCAAACGGG